ensembl:lncRNA
AUGCAUGAUGUGUGGUCGUUGAUCAGGGAAGAUGCUGAACGUCCACCCGUCGCUGCUGCCGUCCUUCAGAGGAGUGAACGCUCAGAAACAGGCUCUUCAGGCCGGAGUCAGACUCACCGGAUGCACGGUGCACUUCGUGGCGGAGGAAGUGGACGCAGGAGCGAUCGUGGUUCAGGAGGCGGUGCCCAUCCUGGUGACGGACACAGAGGACAGCCUAUCAGAGCGCAUCCGGGAGGCGGAGCAUCGGGCUUUCCCAGCAGCCCUGGAGCUGGUGUGCAGCGGCGCGGCGAAGCUGCGAGACGACGGGAGGAUCGUGUGGAGCCACAGCGCUCAGGGAUAAACACACACGCUUGUUAUAACACUACUGUACUCUAGAUCCUCUGUUGAGGAACGCUUGAGUUAUUUGAGAUGUACAUGAUGAGAAUUAUUCCCUGCAUGUAACAGAACUAGAUCAGCAUUAAACUUGCACUGCUCUCAGACAAACCUGAUCUUUUUAUUAUUAUUAUUAUUAUUGUUCUCACUCGUUUAAGAAUAUUAAACAUGGUAUCAUGCAGAACACAAGCCCCUGAGAUCAUUUAUCAAGCAGAAACCUGAUUACAAAAACAUUACAGAAACUGAGACGUUAGUUCUUAUUUUCAAGGAGGUCCUAAACACAGAAACAAAACAUUACAACAUAAACUGAUAUAAAUGGCUUUGAUUCGCAGAGAUUGUAUAUCAUCUUAUUAUCAAUACAUAAUCAUUCAAAUGUUUAAUCACUUGCUGCUUUGUUCCAGAAAUCCUGCUUAUUUUCUUUAAAUACAGACCUGCUGUUAAGGUUAUUUAUGGAUAUAUUAAUAUGCAUAUACUUCUGUUCAGAUGUCAGCAUUUAUUUUCAACCGUCUGAAAGCGUCACUGUAUCACCUCCAUUAAUAAUGUAAUGUAAAAUAUCAUUAUUCAUAUCUUUCAAUAUACCCACUUUCAAUUUAAGGCUUAAAAAAUGAUUCAUCCAUUCAACUAAGAAAGUUCAGUUCAUAUAUACGUGUGUGUGUGUGUGUGUGUGUGUGUGUGUGUGU